ACUCCAUAGCCCGCGCCCGCGUUCUUCCUCCCCCAUCUCGUCUCAUCUCCGGUCGCUGCAGAGGAGCCCAGUUUCGCGCCGCCACCAUGGUUGGCCUGCAGCGAGCAGCAGAGGACCUAGCCGCCGCGUCCGACCUCAACCGCCGCCCGAAACCCUAGCCCCUCCUUCCAACGGCAGGUCAAGCCAGCAGGAUCCCCUCCAAGAAUAGCAUUUGAUGUGUGAGUGCAUAUCCUUCUCUUCUUCUUCUUCUUCUCGAUUUGAUGUGUGCGUGCGUGCUGUUGUGUGCAGGCCCGACUCAUCUCUGCUUGUGCACAACAAGGAAGGCCAUGGAGACGCUGCUCCCUAUAUUCAGCGCGUGGACGGACGAUGCAGCGUUGGGGAUGACUCAUGGCUGCCUCCGUUUGUGCAGAUUGGGUACUCUGGAGCACAUGGGAGGAGGAGAAGGAUGGGAGGUGUGUAGAAUUCGGCGCCAAGGGAGACGAUCGAGAUGGUGGAGCAGAAUCCAGAGGACGACGGGAGACCAGAUAGAGGAGAGACAACACCCGGAUAUCGGGCAGUGAAUGCACACAAUGCAAGGAUACUUUAAACAAAUACAAGUAUCAUCCAUAUGAAGGUCAUCGGGCGUUUGGAAGAGAAGAAUGAUGCAUAUAUCAUCUCAGUUCAGGUCGCUGGAGUUGUUUGGUUUUUCUUCUCAUGUGGAUGCUCCAUACUGUAAACUACGCUCUGUACUUGGAGACAAUCACCAAGUCCUUUUUUGUACAAACUAAUCUAAGCUUUUUGUUCUUCUCAAGUAGCUAUUUUAUUUUGCUAAUUCUGUGUAUAGCUGCUAUUAAACAGAAGUCCUUUGAUGUCAGAUGCAAAGUUGAUGAAGUUUUUUUCUA